rnacentral:lncRNA from 1 species
AAAAUAACUUGCUCCAUUAUGAAUAAAAUCCAGGUUGAUUUCUCUUCUGAAAUGCCAGUUGGUAUAUUCUAGCUCAGGAUCAGGCACUUCAAGGAGCCUCAGAUGGCCUUCCAGACCACAUUUGCUCUGCUGGUAGAUGCACUCAGAGGAUAUUGAUAAAGAACAGAAGAAAAAAUCUUUUCCUAAUUUUCAAUCGACUGAGAGUGAUGUGAAAGAAGACGCUCAUAC